GAUGAACGCUGGCGGCGUGCCUAAUACAUGCAAGUCGAGCGAACAGACGAGGAGCUUGCUCCUUUGACGUUAGCGGCGGACGGGUGAGUAACACGUGGGUAACCUACCUAUAAGACUGGGAUAACUUCGGGAAACCGGAGCUAAUACCGGAUAAUAUUUCGAACCGCAUGGUUCGAUAGUGAAAGAUGGCUUUGCUAUCACUUAUAGAUGGACCUGCGCCGUAUUAGCUAGUUGGUAAGGUAACGGCUUACCAAGGCAACGAUCCGUAGCCGACCUGAGAGGGUGAUCGGCCACACUGGAACUGAGACACGGUCCAGACUCCUACGGGAGGCAGCAGUAGGGAAUCUUCCGCAAUGGGCGAAAGCCUGACGGAGCAACGCCGCGUGAGUGAUGAAGGUCUUCGGAUCGUAAAACUCUGUUAGUAGGGAAGAACAAACGUGUAAGUAACUGUGCACGUCUUGACGUUACCUAAUCAGAAAGCCACGGCUAACUACGUG
rnacentral:rRNA from 1 species